CCCAGUAACGGCGAGUGAAGCGGCAACAGCUCAAAUUUGAAAUCUGGCCUCGGCCCGAGUUGUAAUUUGCAGAGGAAGCUUUAGGCGCGGCACCAUCUGAGUCCCCUGGAACGGGGCGCCGCAGAGGGUGAGAGCCCCGUAGAGAUGGACGCCUAGCCUGUGUAAAGCUCCUUCGACGAGUCGAGUAGUUUGGGAAUGCUGCUCAAAAUGGGAGGUAAAUUUCUUUCUAAAGCUAAAUACCGGCCAGAGACCGAUAGCGCACAAGUAGAGUGAUCGAAAGAUGAAAAGCACUUUGAAAAGAGGGUUAAAUAGCACGUGAAAUUGUUGAAAGGGAAGCGCUUGUGACCAGACUUGCGCCGGGCGGAUCAUCCGGUGUUCUCACCCGGUGCACUCCGCCCGGCUCAGGCCAGCAUCGGUUCUCGCGGGGGGAUAAAGGCACCGGGAACGUAGCUCCUCCGGGAGUGUUAUAGCCCGGGGCGUAAUGCCCUCGCGGGGACCGAGGACCGCGCAUCUGCAAGGAUGCUGGCGUAAUGGUCACCAGCGACCCGUCUUGAAACACGGACCAAGGAGUCAAGGUUUUGCGCGAGUGUUUGGGUGUAAAACCCGCACGCGUAAUGAAAGUGAACGUAGGUGAGAGCUUCGGCGCAUCAUCGACCGAUCCUGAUGUUUUCGGAUGGAUUUGAGUAGGAGCGUUAAGCCUUGGACCCGAAAGAUGGUGAACUAUGCUUGGAUAGGGUGAAGCCAGAGGAAACUCUGGUGGAGGCUCGCAGCGGUUCUGACGUGCAAAUCGAUCGUCAAAUCUGAGCAUGGGG
rnacentral:rRNA from 1 species